CCUACGGGAGGCAGCAGUCGGGAAUAUUGCGCAAUGGAGGAAACCCUGAAGCAGCGACGCCGCGUAGAGGAUGAAGGUUUUCGGAUUGUAAACUAUUGUUGUUAGGGAAGAUAAAAGACUGAACUUAAGGAUGAAGACCCGGCUAACUAGGUGCCAGCACCGGCGGUAAAACAUAGGGGCCAAGCGUUAUCCGGAAUUAUUGGGUGUAAAGGGGGCGUAGACGGAAUAGCAAGUCAGUUGUGAAAUCCCUCGGCUUAACUGAAGAACUGCAACUAAAACUUUUAUCCUUGAGUAUGGGAGAGGAAGGUGGAAUUCGUGGUGUAGCGGUGAAAUGCGUAGAGAUUAAGAGGAACACUAAUGGCGAAGGCGACUUUCUAGACGAUAACUGACGUUGAGGCGCGAAAGUGUGGGGAGCAAACAGGAUUAGAUACCCGAGUAGUC
rnacentral:rRNA from 1 species